rnacentral:rRNA from 1 species
GACGAACGCUGGCGGCGUGCUUAACACAUGCAAGUCGAGCGGAGAUUAUAGCAAUAUAAUCUUAGCGGCGGACGGGUGAGUAACGCGUGGGCAACCUGCCUUAUACAGGGGGAUAACACUGGGAAACUAGUGCUAAUACCGCAUAACAUCACUAGAUGGCAUCAUUUGGUGAUCAAAGGAGAAAUCCGGUAUGAGAUGGGCCCGCGUCCGAUUAGCUAGUUGGUGAGGUAAUGGCCCACCAAGGCGACGAUCGGUAGCCGAACUGAGAGGUUGAUCGGCCACAUUGGGACUGAGACACGGCCCAGACUCCUACGGGUGGCUG